rnacentral:rRNA from 1 species
CUAAAGAUGGCGACCGGCGCACGGGUGAGUAACACGUAUCCAACCUGCCGAUAACUCGGGGAUAGCCUUUCGAAAGAAAGAUUAAUACCCGAUAGUAUAAUCAGACCGCAUGGUUUGAUUAUUAAAGAAUUUCGGUUAUCGAUGGGGAUGCGUUCCAUUAGGCAGUUGGUGAGGUAACGGCUCACCAAACCUUCGAUGGAUAGGGGUUCUGAGAGGAAGGUCCCCCACAUUGGAACUGAGACACGGUCCAA